GGUUGUAUAGUGUAGCGGUUAGCACGCGAGAUUUUGACAACUCAAAAAUUCUCGAGUCCGUAAGUUUCGACCUUCAGCCCAGUCAGUCAAGCAAUCUUCUAACACCUCUCAGUGGGUUCGAGCCCCAGUACGACCU
rnacentral:tRNA from 1 species